AUAACUUCCAAUAAGCAGAAUAAAUAGACAUGAGUUAAGUGCAAUGCAGGCUAAUGAGCAUAGAGUUAGGAUUCUUCAGCAUCACAUCCUAAGCAAGACACAUUAAACAUCUUACCAUCUGAGCAGAAUAAUUCUGAUAAACUCCGAUAGCAAGCCUAAGAUUCAGUUCCCAUCAGUGGCUCCAGUUUUAUCCUGGUUAUAUCUGGGUGACUUGAACCGAAAGUAAAAUCGGCAAACUGCUUCAAGUGCAAAUUAUAAAGAACCAGCAACUCCAAUAACUCAUAGCAGAAAUCCUGUGUCAAGUUAGCAAAUCCCUUAAAUUAGUUGCUUCAUUCUAGAAAGCUCAAAUACAUUUAAUCAAACCCUUGAUAUAAUAUACAAUAAGGACAAGGGAUGAUUGCUUUCAACAACGACAUCUUUCCUUUGUAGCAUAUCCACAAGUUGCAAUUAACAAGAGACGGUCAUGGAACUCUAUGCACAGAGCAACAUUAAACUUAGCUGAAGUUACUAGCAACUGCUUUAUUAGUAAUUAAACUGAACUCUCAUUUUACAUCACUAGUAUCGAAUGAGAGCUCAGCUGUGACAGCUAGUGACCAGUGAUAAUAAUUACUAAACAAGAGUGCUGUAAAAGGAAGUACAAUCUGACCAUACUUUUACUUAAAAAGCCUAAAGCUCGUCAGUCAUUUGUUUAAAAAGAAUAUACUCGUUGUUUAUAUUCAGAUGGCAAGGACUCAAGAGAUCAAAACAGAAAUUUGAAAAUAAGGAACCUACUGCACCUGAUGUCUAUAAUCCUAUAUCAUCUUAGAACUUUGGAGCUAAAACUUGCCAAUUAAUAUAUCCCUCCUCUUAUUAUGUUUGAACACAAGUUUGCAAUACGUUGCAAAUGGUAAUAAGGUGUAUGCUUGUGAUCUUCUAGUGAAGUUUCUUUAAUUGUCAAAAUAAAUGCCUUAAUAAGUUGGAGCCAUUCGCAAAUCAUAGACCAUCCUCCCAUUCCUUUUUGAAUCAACAAAGGUAUCGGUUAUCUCUUUCAUAGGUGAGGUCCAGCUGUAGAAUUGACAUAAGCUGAUAAUGGUAGACUUAAAUCAUAUCAUUAUGCUCUUCACAACCAUACUGAUCGUGAAUUCAGAUUGCAAUAGUGUCAAACAAGCGAAAGCAUUAAUAAUCGGAAGAAAGAAAGUAUAAACAACACCCCUUGGGUGGAGUUUGACUGCUUUCUGGUCCGGGCCUUUUCUACGAUGUUAUAAACAUAGAAAUUCACAAGAUAGAGAAAACAAACAUCUAUUAAAGCAGUCGUAGAACUCAUUGAUAAAAAAUACACUGAUAUGUUAGUCUGUGGACUGAUUCUAAUACCACAAAGAAGCAUCUUGUUUCUUUAUAACAUUCAUUGAAAACAAUUAGAGUUAAGCAUUCUUAAGUGAAACAUGCUAGCCAAUACUUGGAAAUUAGGAGAUCUUAAUUCUUAUGAAUACAACCCAAACAUGAACCAAGAAGAUAAGCGUAUACUAGCUGGACUAGGCUCCUAAACAAUAAAUAGGCUUUCUAUCCCACAUAGUAAUGUUCAAUUUUUAGCAUGUUUGUUCGGAGGAGUUUAGCAGGGAAGGGGAGGAAGGUAACAAAAUAGCAAAUGCAGGUAAAUCAUUCAGAAGAAACCAAAGAAAUUGCCAAUAAAGUACAUGCUAAUGCAUUUGUCGAAUUGCUUUAGUAGUUUUUUCCUGAGUCUUCUCCAUCAAUUUCUUGAUCCCAGAGUUGGACAAAAAUUUAAGGGCUUACCAAAUUCCAAAUCCCCAAAAUGGUUUAAAAAAAAUUGGAUUCUUUCAGCCGCAAAUAUAUCAAACUAAAACCUCCUAAGGUAAAGCUGAAGCAUAUCACAUCAAAAAGAGAAUGAACAGAAAACUUACUCAAGUUGACGAAGAGCAUAAAAAAGCUCCUUUUGUCUACUUCUCUGUGGCAGGAAAAUUUAGAACCCUACUUUGCUCCCAGCACACCAAAAAUCCAUGGAAUUGUAGAUGCCUUCACAAAUGCUGUAGAUAAGUAUCAAAGCAAAAAAAAAAAAGCAUAAUGUGCGUAAGCUAUUUAGCUAAUUUGAACAUAUCAAUUUAAAUUUGAAACUGAAGAAAGAGAUAGGUAUGACUAACUAACAAUACUAUUUCAAACAUAAAAUAUUACUAGUCUAAUUUUUGAAAGUGAAGAAAGACAAUUUAAUCAGCAAUGACAACGACAAUGAGGCAAAGGGACAGUACCGAGAGAUUAUGCAAGCGAAAUUGGAUAGAUUAGCAGUACAUAAAGCUCUCGCAAGAAAACAUACACAAAAAAGAAAAAUUCUUCAUAACCUAUUACUGAAGGUAAGCUUUGAUUGGAAAGAAAAAAGAGAGGUACUAACUUUAAGAAACACAGAGAUUCUACGAGUGGAAUUUGCAAAGUUUGGUAUAAUUGGUUAAGUUAUUGGUAUAAUUGUUUGGUAAUUUGUUAAAUUAUUGCCUAUUGAUGAGGAUAUAUGAUCGCG
rnacentral:lncRNA from 1 species